GCAGAAUUAGUGUAACGGUAGCACACAAGCCUUCAGAGCUUGACGACGUACCUCCAGUACGUAAGAGCGGGUUCGAUUCCCGUAUUCUGCUCAA
rnacentral:tRNA from 1 species